UACGAAGGGGGCUAGCGUUACUCGGAAUUACUGGGCGUAAAGCGUGCGCAGGCGGCUUUGUAAGUCGGAAGUGAAAGCCCAAGGCUUAACCUUGGAAUUGCUUACGAUACUGCAAAGCUAGAGUCCUAGAGAGGAUGGUGGAAUUCAUAGUGUAGAGGUGAAAUUCGUAGAUAUUAUGAGGAAUACCGGAGGCGAAAGCGGCCAUCUGGCUAGGUACUGACGCUGUUGCACGAAGGCGUGGGGAGCAAAC
rnacentral:rRNA from 1 species